UACGGAGGGUGCAAGCGUUAUCCGGAUUCACUGGGUUUAAAGGGUGCGUAGGCGGGUCAGUAAGUCAGUGGUGAAAUCUCCGGGCUUAACUCGGAAACUGCCGUUGAUACUAUUUAUCUUGAAUAUCAUGGAGGUAAGCGGAAUAUGUCAUGUAGCGGUGAAAUGCUUAGAUAUGACAUAGAACACCGAUAGCGAAGGCAGCUUACUACAUGUUAAUUGACGCUGAGGCACGAAAGCGUGGGGAGCAAACAGG
rnacentral:rRNA from 1 species